UACGAAGGGUGCAAGCGUUACUCGGAAUUACUGGGCGUAAAGGGUGCGUAGGUGGUCGUUUAAGUCCGUUGUGAAAUCCCUGGGCUCAACCUGGGAAUGGCAGUGGAUACUGGACGGCUAGAAUGCGGUAGAGGGUAGUGGAAUUCCCGGUGUAGCAGUGAAAUGCGUAGAGAUCGGGAGGAACACCAGUGGCGAAGGCGACUAUCUGGACAGAUACUGACACUGAGACACGAAAGCGUGGGGAGCAAACAGG
rnacentral:rRNA from 1 species